rnacentral:lncRNA from 1 species
UGUUGAUACAAUUAUCGUAACCUCAGGUGUAGUGUGUCAUAUUUGUCUCUUGACUGAGAGAGUCAUUUUGAUUGGGCAAGAUAUUCAUCAGAGAAAACACAAACGACUUCUUGUUGUGUGCAUCAUUUUGCUGAUUUGUGAAUACCUUACCCAUGAUUUUUUCGAGCAUUUUGUGGAAGGUAUUGUGGAAACAGCUAACGGAAAUGCAAUAUUACAGAUCGUAAUACACAUUCUCAUGUAUGUCGUUACAUUUGAAAUAUUCCACAUAUCCCACUUUGAAUUUGGAAUAAUGGUAUACACUUAUCUUUGUAUAACCUACUACUUCAUUU